UACAGAGGUCCCGAGCGUUGUUCGGAUUCAUUGGGCGUAAAGGGUGCGUAGGCGGCGGGGCAAGUCUGAUGUGAAAUCCCGGGGCUCAACCCCGGAACUGCAUUGGAUACUGCCUUGCUAGAGUACUGGAGAGGGAACUGGAAUUUACGGUGUAGCAGUGAAACGCGUAGAGAUCGUAAGGAAGGCCAGUGGCGAAGGCGAGUUCCUGGACAGUUACUGACGCUGAGGCACGAAGGCCGGGGGAGCAAACGGG
rnacentral:rRNA from 1 species